UGAGCUGCCCUGAUCCUCAGGUCCACUGUGAGCUGCUCUGCUGGAGUGUGUUGGCUUCUCUUAGCAGCACCACCAUGUGGUCCUGAAAUGAGUGUGGCACCAUUCAGUGCACCCCUCAUUUUAGAGAAGAGGAAACUUAAAUGGAGGGCAAGGUGGCCCAAGGGGAUGCUGGGAAGUUGGGGACAGGGGAGCAAAGAAGUCCCCAGGCUGGUGCUGAUCUCCUUGUGCCCAGGUGUGUGUGCAGUGUGGUGCCUUCGCUCAUCCUGGAAGGUCCCUUUGUGCUCCCAGCUGGUGACCUCACUUCUUGUCACUCUGAGAAAAUAGAAGCCACCAGGAGAGAAUGUCCUUAGCUACUCACCUGUCCACCUGCCUACAUCAGGACCUGAAUCUCCUGCAUCUGUCCUGAGGCCGAGGUGCAAGCUCAUCCAUAGGAUACAUUUCCAAAACUAGAAGAAUCUUCUCAAAAGGCACUCUCUGUCAAUGAGGUGGCACAGGCAUCCAUCCCUUAGCAGCUCCAGGGUUCCAUUUGACCAGCUGAUCAUCCUCCAUAAAAAAGAAACACCUCUUUCUCAAUAAAAACACGAACAACUUACUUGGUGCCUAACAUGUUCU